AGGCAUGCUGGCGGAAAUAAAAAAGAUUCUUUAUGCCAAGUGUGAUAUUCUGUACAAUGUGAACAAAAUGUUUUGUGUGUGGGAUUUCUCGAAGUCUGAUUCAUUUUAACAUCUUUUCUAGUUUUAGUCCAGCGACCAAUAUAUUGUAAGUUAAGUGUACGUGGCUAUGUAUGAGAUUUUACUGCUUUGUUGUUGUCGCCUGAGAAGAGCUUCCGCAUUUGUGUUGUUUCCAAGACAACGUCUGAGCAGCAGUACUUUUCAGACCGGACGCAACAGUGACUCAGUAUCUGAAAACAGGAGUUAGGCUUUCCCCUCCAUAGAUGGAGACAGCUCUUGGGCAGCAAAAGGGAAGCAGUUUGAUGCUGAGCCAGCACUUCCUCUGUUAAAGGGGACUUGUCAUUGCAGAUGUCAUAGACCAACAUAAUACCCUGUGAAGGAAAAACAAACAAUGUCCAUAACCUGACAUGCAACACACACACCGAGGGAUAAAGUGUGGAAAGAAGAGUUGACUCACCAUAGCCCCUCUGUAGUAAGCUGUGGUGAUGGUUCGAAACCUCUCUUGUCCUGCAGUGUCCCUAGAAGAAGGAGAAAUCAUAUCAGAUUGUAGGUGGAUGGACAGUUGUGUCAAUCUCAGAUUUAAAAAGAGAAAAAGGUCGUAUCACACUCACCAAAUCUGAAGUUUGACUCUCUUCCCAUCCAGCUCUAUUGUUCUGAUUUUGAAGUCUAUUCCUGAAUUCAAAUAAACAAUCACAGACAUGGACUCUAUAAGUUGAUUCUUGCUGCUUUGAUUAGUUAAGAGGUUAUCACAUCAUGUCUCACAUUUCUACAAAACAAACAUCUCCCUGCACAGUGGCUGUCCUUUGUUAUCUAAUCAAAAAUGUAUGUUCUGAACUCUUCAAACCAUGCAAGUAUGUUUGAUGUUUUCGAUAUGCUUCGAUCCAAAACAAGGUAUAAAUGUGAGUAUAUAUAUUCAUCUAUGCAAAUAACACUGCAUACCAUCAUGGACAUAGAAAAGAGAGAGUGAAAAUAAAUUAUUCAUAAAUUAAACUGGGGUACGGGUAUAAAUCUAACCCUCACUAAAUGGGUUCUUGGUUAUUUCUAUGAGAUCUGUACAUGUGUUAUUACUAACAAGCGUCAAAGUGUCAAUAUGCAUCACAAAGUAAUUUCCAAAGGCAGUAUAUGAGGGCUGAGUUUUGGAGAAUUCUGCUUCUUACCCAAUAGAAUGAAACGAUCAACAAUGUGAUUCAUUUUAUUGUUUGAAUUUUCAAUAAAUACAUUUUUCGCUAUUAACUGUAUGGGUAGAAUGUGUAAGAAAAUACUUAACAGUUUCCCACGACAAGUCCAAAUAGAAACAAGAUGAAGGUCACGUGACCAAAAGCUUAGCAUCAAAGAAGUCACUGCAUUAAAUGUGCUUAUGGUGUAUUUCCUUUUGAUAAUUCUGUUUUUUGCUCUCACUGCAACAUAUCCUCUCGUCACAAAUGUGCUGUGCUUUUCAAAAGUGUGUCCUUUGUUAUCUUAAAUAAAUGUAUAAUCUGUCA